GGGAAAAGUAAACUGAUAUUGACGCAAGAGAGCACCGCAAUGCUCUCCGGGAAGUGUAGUCUUAGCUGCUUUGGAAGGCCACCUGGUUUCCACAGCUAGUCACGGAAUUUUAUAACUGUAAUUAACUCAAGGCGGAAGAGCUUGCAGGAUCCUCAGCGUUGUGGCGAAGGACAGAGUAUACAGCCAGCAACAAGUGUCAGUGUUAACAACUUAAACGCAGGAGGCUGUACCUUUGGAGCUACCGAGAGCCAUCCUACUAUCUCAUAUCGCCUGAGAAUGAUGCUUAUUGGAAUGGCCCAUGGAGUCUGGAGGACUGUGUGCUAGUUAGGGGUAACCUGGCUUUGCAGUGUGGGAGCUUAUGGGAACAUCCCCAGAACCUGUGACGCUAAUCAAUCAGAAGAAGCUGAAUUCAGAAAGAUGAAAUGAACCGUUAUCCAGCACUUGGAGCUUUCAUCCUGAGCUGAGUGUACAUUAUUUCUCCCUACCCAUCACCACGUGAUAGAAAGUCAAUGAAACCAUUAUAUUCGUUCUUCGCUGGCCCAGUAUUCCAAGUUUUUGGCCUAUAAUGUCAUAGCUGUAGCCUAUUGAAAAGUCUAUCUUUCCUUCUUUGAACUACUUUCGCACCUUUCUCAAAAAUUAGUUCAGCCUAUUUGUGUGGGACUAUUUCUGGGUUCUGUGUUCAUUGAUCCAUGUAUCUAUGUCUCUGCAAAUACUACAUAGUCCUGGUUACUCUGCUGCUGCGGCUAAGUGACUUCAGUCGUGUCCGACUCUGUGCGACCCCAUAGACGGCAGCCCACCAGGCUCCCCCAUCCCUGGGAUUCUCCAGGCAAGAGCACUGGAGUGGGUUGCCAUUUCCUUCUCCAAUGCAUGAAAGUGAAAAGUGAAAGUGAAGUCGCUCAGUCAUAUCCGACUCUACGUGACCCCAUGGACUGCAGCCUACCAGGCUCCUCCAUCCAUGGGAUUUUCCAGGCAAGAGUACUGGAGUGAGGUGCCGUCACCUUCUCCCCUGGUUACUCUAGAUAUACAUUAAUAAUAAGUUUUAAAACAGUGAACUGACUGCUCCCAUUUUAUUAC
ensembl:lncRNA